AUAAGUGGUGGGCAAGACUGGUGCCAGCCGCCGCGGUAACACCAGCGCCACGAGUGGCUAUCACGAUUAUUGGGCCUAAAGCGUCCGUAGUCGGUCUUGUGCAUCUUCUGUGAAAUCGUUGCGCUUAACGUAACGGCACGCGGAAGACACGGCAAGGCUUGAGAGCGGGAGGCGUGAAGAGUACUCCGGGGGGACCGGUAAAAUGGUAUAAUCCCCGGAAGACUACCUGUGGCGAAGGCGCUUCACGAGAACGCAUCUGACGAUGAGGGACGAAAGCCAGGGGAGCAAACCGGAUUAGAUACCCGAGUAGUCCUGGCCGUAAACGCUGUCAGCUAGGUGUUGCGUGUUCCUUGUGAACUCGCAGUAUCGGAGCGAAGGUAUUAAGCUGACCGCCUGGGAAGUACGGUCGCAAGACUGAAACUUUA
rnacentral:rRNA from 1 species